rnacentral:rRNA from 1 species
AGUGAACGCUGGCGGUAGGCCUAACACAUGCAAGUCGAACGGCAGCACAGUAAGAGCUUGCUCUUACGGGUGGCGAGUGGCGGACGGGUGAGGAAUACAUCGGAAUCUACUUUUUCGUGGGGGAUAACGUAGGGAAACUUACGCUAAUACCGCAUACGACCUACGGGUGAAAGCAGGGGAUCUUCGGACCUUGCGGGAUUGAAUGAGCCGAUGUCGGAUUAGCUAGUUGGCGGGGUAAAGGCCCACCAAGGCGACGAUCCGUAGCUGGUCUGGGAGGAUGAUCAGCCACACUGGAACUGAGACACGGUCCAGACUCCUACGGGAGGCAGCAGUGGGGAAUAUUGGACAAUGGGCGCAAGCCUGAUCCAGCCAUACCGCGUGGGUGAAGAAGGCCUUCGGGUUGUAAAGCCCUUUUGUUGGGAAAGAAAAGCAGCAGGUUAAUACCCCGCUGUUCUGACGGUACCCAAAGAAUAAGCACCGGCUAACUUCGUG